AGGGAAUCUUCCGCAAUGGACGCAAGUCUGACGGAGCAACGCCGCGUGAGUGAAGAAGGUUUUCGGAUCGUAAAACUCUGUUGUUAGAGAAGAACAAGUGCUAGAGUAACUGUUAGCGCCUUGACGGUAUCUAACCAGAAAGCCACGGCUAACUACGUGCCAGCAGCCGCGGUAAUACGUAGGUGGCAAGCGUUGUCCGGAUUUAUUGGGCGUAAAGCGAGCGCAGGCGGUUCCUUAAGUCUGAUGUGAAAGCCCCCGGCUCAACCGGGGAGGGUCAUUGGAAACUGGGGAACUUGAGUGCAGAAGAGGAGAGUGGAAUUCCAUGUGUAGCGGUGAAAUGCGUAGAUAUAUGGAGGAACACCAGUGGCGAAGGCGACUCUCUGGUCUGUAACUGACGCUGAGGCUCGAAAGCGUGGGUAGCAAACAGGAUUAGAUACCCUGGUAGUCCACGCCGUAAACGAUGAGUGCUAAGUGUUGGAGGGUUUCCGCCCUUCAGUGCUGCAGUUAACGCAUUAAGCACUCCGCCUGGGAGUACGACCGCAAGGUUG
rnacentral:rRNA from 1 species